ACGAACGCUGGCGGCGUGCUUAACACAUGCAAGUCGAACGGUGAAGCGCCUUCCUUUUUGGUGGGUGUGGAUGAGUGGCGAACGGGUGAGUAACACGUGAGUAACCUGCCCCCUUCUUCUGGAUAACCGCAUGAAAGUGUGGCUAAUACGGGAUAUUCUGGGUCUGUCGCAUGAUGGGUCUGGGAAAGAUAUUGUUUCGGUGGGGGAUGGGCUCGCGGCCUAUCAGCUUGUUGGUGGGGUGAUGGCCUACCAAGGCGGUGACGGGUAGCCGGCCUGAGAGGGUGGACGGUCACACUGGGACUGAGACACGGGCCAGACUCCUACGGGAGGCAGCAGUGGGGAAUAUUGCACAAUGGGCGCAAGCCUGAUGCAGCGACGCCGCGUGAGGGAUGGAGGCCUUCGGGUUGUGAACCUCUUUCGCCAGUGAAGCAGGCCUGCCUCGUUUGUGGGUGGGUUGACGGUAGCUGGAUAAGAAGCGCCGGCUAACUACGUG
rnacentral:rRNA from 1 species